AUGGCUGAUCUGCCAUGGUUAGUAGCAGGGGACUUCAAUGAAAUAUUGCAUGCUCAUGAGAAAGAAGGAGGGGCGGCGCGCCCUCAAUGUUGUAUGCAGGGUUUUAGCAGUGCACUAAGUGACUGCGGGCUUGAUGAUCUUGGUUACUCUGGGGAUAUUUUUACUUGGCGAAGAGGAUGCAUAAGAGAACAAUUGGAUAGGGUUGUCUCGACUGGCACAUGGGCAGACCUGUUUCCAUCUUAUGGUGUGUCCAAUGAGCCGUUUAACAAGUCGGAUCACCGACCAAUUUUGAUUGACAUUGAGUUCCAGCAAGGCCUGCAACCAAGGGGUCCGACAAGGCUAAGAAAAUUCGAAGCAAGAUGGCUUGCCAAGGAGGAUGUGGAGGUUAUUGUUCAAACUGCCUAG
rnacentral:rRNA from 1 species